UGCCCUGACAGACAGCAUUCAGGCUCCAGCAUGCCAAGUCACAGCAUCAACACGAAACUUACAGUGGGCCAUUGCACAUGUCAUCCCAGAGAGCCGCUGUCUUCAGUUUGAAUGUGGUGUCAAGGUACAGCUAGGUUUCGCUGCAGAGUUCUCCAACAUCAUGAUAAUCUACACUCGGAUAUUGGAGACAUCUAAAGACAUUGUGUCCUGCUCUGCUCAGCUCUCUGACUUCACAGAGGGUCCUGAAGUAGACCUGAAGCACAGCAAUCAGGAGAGUCUUCACGAGGCUGGCAGCUUACUACUGUCCAUGGAUGAUCUACUGCCUCUGGAACAACCUCGGCUCUUUACUCGUAUUAGUGCCCUGCAAAGG